GAUGAACGCUGACAGAAUGCUUAACACAUGCAAGUCUUUGGCGAAGCUGUGCUUGCACAGCCUAGCCAAGGCGGACGGGUGAGUAACGCGUAAGGAACUUGCCCUGCAGUCAGGGAUAACAGACGGAAACGACUGAUAAGACCUGGUAAAGUCAGGCGGACUCAUGUCCAGCCUGAUGAAAAGAGAUGCUGCAGGAGAGCCUUGCGUCCUAUUAGCUUGUUGGUGGGGUAACGGCCCACCAAGGCGAUGAUAGGUAGCCGGCCUGAGAGGGUGGGCGGCCACAAGGGGACUGAGAUACGGCCCUUACUCCUACGGGAGGCAGCAGUGGGGAAUAUUGGACAAUGGGGGCAACCCUGAUCCAGCAAUUCUGUGUGCACGAUGAAGGUUUUCGGAUUGUAAAGUGCUUUCAGCAGGGAAGAAAAAAAUGACGGUACCUGCAGAAGAAGCGACGGCUAAAUACGUG
rnacentral:rRNA from 1 species